GUCUAGGAUGCCAGCUGGCUGCGGGCUGGGAGAUGCAGGGUGUUUACUGCCACUCCAUUUCACUGGGAUUAGCACCCAUAUGCAUUGUGGUCUUUUUGUUUGAGUUCAUCAAACUUCUGAUCCUAAGUCUGCACCUUUAGCAUACUGGGCCUGAACCAUAAGGCACAAGGAAUGAGCCCCUCAUCGUGAGAGUGCAUGUGACAGGAGCAAAGGAAGCGGCAGCUCAGGAAAGACAAGGUCACUGUUCUUGCUCCCAUGACAGUAGCACUUGUUAGAGCAACUGAGUGACGUGCAUAAUUCUCUCCAAAGUAAAAGUCCUUUUUGUUUUUUGCAAUUUUACAAAAAACCAUCCCUGGGCCUUUCCUGAGAGUGUGCAAUAAUAAGCAAUGUUCAUAUGACUACCCGGGCAUUUAGUAAUGGUAAGCAGACCAGAUGAAGUGACCACAGGGAUAUAGCCUGACUCUUGGUAAUCAGGACUGAAGUACUCACUGAUUAAGGUUCUGUGUUUUCACUGCCUUGAAAGGCAAGUGUCUUGCAAGCUGCAUGCCAAACAAAGGCUAAAUAUGAUGACACAUCAGGCUGGAGCAGAGUCAACUGACCAUAUAUGUCUAGGUGAUGAGUGUGCUUUAAUGUGGUCAGGGAAGGCAACUCAUGAUAAAGGCCACAAAUGGCUAUUUAGACCAAAGCAAAAGCCCACCAGAAACUGGUGGCUCUGACUGAGGUGACUUUUAAUGUAUCAUGAAAUCAGUAGGCCAAAAGCAGUUAAAGUUGAGCCGAUGUCCUCAGUCAUGGUUGGUUAAUCCAGUUUGUAUUGUGAAUUGUUUGAUUAGCCUCCCCUUUACCCCAUUGGUGAGGGACAAAUUACCACCCUUGUACAACUGGAACAGUUAAAACCAUGGCACCAAUCAUUGGACAAAUGAGAUUGACAGCAGUUAUUCGUUACAUAUAAUCAUGGAAGAAGGAAAUUAUAUAAGGUAUACAGAUCCACACAGGGAUUGCACUUGGGAGCAGAGAGAACAAACAGGGGGUGUUGGGGAAGGCUUUGUAGUAUCAAGAGGGUGCGAUGCACCUGGUUCCCACAGGAGGUUGUUAUUGGUUGGUCUGGAUAAUUCUGUGACCUUGGGAGAAACUGAAACACAUUAUACUACCAAUUGCUAAGACUACAAUAACAUACUAUAAUAGUGUAAUGCUAUAAUGUACCAUAUACUGUAAUACUAAUGACAGUAUGUUCUCCCUUUUUUGAUAGAUUCUCAGAAACUGUGACUUUAAGUAAAACAAUGUACUAUAUAAUAAAACCAAUUUUACCAUUGGCUAAUUGAUAUAAACAAGAGUUAAUUUUCCAUGGCAUAUAGUAUUUUGUUUCACUUAAAGUCAGUUUCCAGGGACCUAUCAAUGAUGUUAAGUGAGCACUUACUGAACAUGUAUUUUAGUGAUGUGUAAUAGAAAGUAGCUAUAAAAAAUAUACUGUUCAUGUACAAAACUACAUGUGGUACACAUUACAGUCAUGAACCACAUAACAAUGUUUGAGAAAUUGACAGACUAUAUAUAUGAGGGUGUUUUCUUGUGAGUAUAUAUAUAAACCUACCUUUAAAGGCCAAAGGAGAUGAGAGUUUGAAGAAUGAGGCUGACAAAUCAAGUUUCUCAGAAAGAAACAUUUAAGAGGAACAUUUAUUAAUAGAAGCUAUGUCUCAGAUAGCUGAAGAUGGUGGAACCUCACACUGUGACCCCCUAAACCCAGACACUUAUCACAGGAAAGGGAAUGUGAAGGACAAUUGAAAUCACUAUAUAAAUUUGCCUAAGGGUAGGAUUUAUGCUAAGUACCUGUUCACAAUAGCAUCAGGGUUGUUUUGAUUUAAGGGUAGGGCUUAUAGAACUGUAGGUUUCAAUAUAUGACAUAGGUAUUUGAAACCCUCACCAAAAAACAUUAGAGGAAGUAACUCUGUCAUCAUUUUAAGUUUCUUUUUUUUUUUUAGUAAUUUAAAAUCUUAAAGUCUGGUUAUGUUAAAUUAAGUAAUCUUAAGUUUCUCACUAAAAAUUAGUAUUGCUAAGCAUUAAAAUAAUAGUUUUAAGACAGUUUUACCCCAGGACUAGUGAUUGGAUAAUACGGCCCCAGGCCCCACCCCUUCAGGUUCUGAAUGAGAGAAGAUGUGAGCCGACUCGUAGCCAGAUGACAACAGGGUAAAAUGUUCCAAGCCGCAGCCUUUUUCAGUCAGGACUUCCUCCUUAUGCUGAAGCCCGGCCUUCACUGUGGGAUAUUUGCAUUUAACCUUAUAUAUAAGGUUAUUUUUAUUUAUAAAUUGUAUAUAUGUGGCCAGGCAUAGUGGAUCUCACCUUUAAUACCAGCACUUUUAUAGGCUGAGGGGAUAGGAGCUCUUGAAUCCAGGCGUUUGGGACCAGCCUGGGCAACAGAAUGUGAGGGCCCCACAUCAAAACUUUUCUACAAAAAAAUGAAAAAAUUAGCCAGGAAUGGUCACACGUGUCUGUGGUCCCAGCUACUUGGGAGGCAGAGGUGGGAGGGUCACUUAAGCCUGGGAGGUAGAGGCUGCAGUGAGCUGAGAUCAGGCCACUGCACUGCAGCCUGGGUGACAGAACAAGAUUCUCUCUUUCUUUCUCUGCCUUAUUUGUGUGUGUGUGAAGGGGGAGGGGUGUGUGUGUGUGUAUUAUUCAAAAUAGAAACAAAAUAAUAACAAUUAUUUUUAUUUUUAUUUACAUUUUUUUGAGACAGAGUCUCACUCUGUCACCCAGGCUCGAGUACAGUGAUGAGAUAUUGGCUCACUGCAACCUCUGCCUGCCAGGUUCAAGUGAUUCUUCUGCCUCAGCCUCCCAGGUAGCUGGGAUACAGGCACCCACCAUGUUGCCCAGCUAAUUUUUUUAUUUUUAGUAGAGACAUGGUUUCACCAUGUUGACCAGGCUGGUUUCGAACCGAGGUCAAGUGAUCCGCCUGCCUCGGCCUCCCAAAGUGCUAGCAUAACAGGCAUGAGCCACCAUGCCCAACCAAUUACAAUUAUUUUUAAUUUUUAGAUUUUACAAUCUUUCUGGCCUCUUGGCUUUUGAGGCAAACUGAGCUUUGAAAUUAGACAAUCCUCUAUUGCAGCAAUGUGCAAUAGAAGUAAAAUGUGAGCCACAUGUGACAAUUAGAAUUUGCUAGUAGCAGCAUAAAGAAAAAGAAAAAUGAGUGAAAUUGAUGUUAACAACAUAGCUCAAUAUAUCCAAAAUAUUUUAACAUAUAAUCAGAAUGAAAUAAUUAAAGAAACAUAUAUAUGUGUACAUAUAUAUGUAGACACACAUAGACAUAUGUUUCUUUAACCCAGCAUUAUAUAUUUUUAUGCACAUAUGUAUAUGUAACUAAAUAUUUAAAUAUUUUCUUGUAUUUCUCCCCAGCAUAUCUUAGUUCAUGCUGGGCACAAUACAGUUGCUCAGUAGCCCCUGUGCCCAGUGGCUGCCACAUUGCAAGUGCAUCUCUGAGGGAUCCAACUUUUCUGACCUUAGGGAGGUUAAAGGGCCUGAAUCCUCCUUUUCUGCCAGAUAGGAGUGAAUGCCCCUUCUCUGCCAAUAUCACUCCUGUUUAAAGGAUAAGAGAGGUGGUGCCCUGAGAGACAGUAGGGCCUACAAGAAACAAGUGUUCACAGGUAGAACACUGCUGUCCACUGCUGCUUGGUGUGGACUCAUCAAUCCUCCAGAGAUCAUACAGCAGUCCAAAAAGUGGGGCCCCAGAAGAGGGAAACCUCAUGUUUUUAGAUCUGUCCAUAGGCUUGAUCUGAUGUCAAGAGACUAGAUUAAAGGCAAACUUUUUAUCUUGCAAUUUGGCCUUGGCAAAUUAAAUAGAAAUAUGUCACUAUAAAAAUCAAUUAAAUAAAAAGGAAGGCAGUAAGAGCAGAAAAGAGGAGAAAACACCUACAAGAAACAAAUAGAACUAUUAACAAAAUGGAAGUAGUCCAUUCUUUUCACAAUUAAAAUGAAUAUAUACAUAGAGUAAAAUUUCCAACAGAAAUGUGUAAAUUGGCUAGAGAUUGAAAGAAAAAACGAUUUGUUUUCUGCUGUCUAUAAGAAACUCACUUUAGAUCUAAGCACACAGAUAGGCUAAAAGUGCAAGUAUGAAAAAUAUCUUCUAGGAAAAUUGCAAUCAAAUGAGAGAAGAGGGGUCAUAAUUAUGCAAAAUACACAUUAAGUCAAAACUGAAUUAAAGGACAAAUAUAGUGUAUAAUGAUACAAGUGUUGAU